GAUGAACGCUGGCGGCGUGCCUAAUACAUGCAAGUCGAGCGAAUGGAUUAAGAGCUUGCUCUUAUGAAGUUAGCGGCGGACGGGUGAGUAACACGUGGGUAACCUGCCCAUAAGACUGGGAUAACUCCGGGAAACCGGGGCUAAUACCGGAUAACAUUUUGAACCGCAUGGUUCGAAAUUGAAAGGCGGCUUCGGCUGUCACUUAUGGAUGGACCCGCGUCGCAUUAGCUAGUUGGUGAGGUAACGGCUCACCAAGGCAACGAUGCGUAGCCGACCUGAGAGGGUGAUCGGCCACACUGGGACUGAGACACGGCCCAGACUCCUACGGGAGGCAGCAGUAGGGAAUCUUCCGCAAUGGACGAAAGUCUGACGGAGCAACGCCGCGUGAGUGAUGAAGGCUUUCGGGUCGUAAAACUCUGUUGUUAGGGAAGAACAAGUGCCAGUUGAAUAAGCUGGCACCUUGACGGUACCCAACCAGAAAGCCACGGCUAACUACGUGCCAGCAGCCGCCGUAA
rnacentral:rRNA from 1 species